AUUGAACGCUGGCGGCAGGCCUAACACAUGCAAGUCGAGCGGAUGAAGGGAGCUUUCUCCUGGAUUCAGCGUCGGACGGGUGAGUAAUGCCUAGGAAUCUGCCUCGCUGUGGGGUAUAACGUCCGUAAACGGGCGCUAAUACCGCCUACGUCCUGAGGGAGAAAGAGGGGGUUCUUCGGACCUCAUGCUCUCACAUGAGUCUAGGCCGGAUUUGCUAGUUGGUUGGGUAAAGGCUUACUAAGGCGACGAUCCGUAACUGGUCUGAGAGGAUGAUCAGUCACACUGGAACUGAGACACGGUCCAGACUCCUACGGGAGGCAGCAGUGGGGAAUGUUGGACGAUGGGCGAAAGCCUGAUCCAGCCAUGCCGCGUGUGUGAAGAAGGUCUUCGGAUUGUAAAGCACUUUAAGUUGGGAGGAAGGGCAGUAAGUUAAUACCUUGCUGUUUUGACGUUACCAACAGAAUAAGCACCGGCUAACUUCGUG
rnacentral:rRNA from 1 species